rnacentral:rRNA from 1 species
UACAGAGGUCCCAAGCGUUGUUCGGAUUCAUUGGGCGUAAAGGGUGCGUAGGCGGCGCGGUAAGUCGGGUGUGAAAUCUCGGAGCUUAACUCCGAAACUGCAUUCGAUACUGCCGUGCUUGAGGACUGGAGAGGAGACUGGAAUUUACGGUGUAGCGGUGAAAUGCGCAGAUAUCAGGAGGAACACCCGUGGCGAAAGCGGCUCUCUGGGACGGUACUGACGCUGAGACGCGAAAGCGUGGGGAGCAAACAGG